rnacentral:rRNA from 1 species
CCUGGCUCAGGACGAACGCUGGCGGCGUGCUUAACACAUGCAAGUCGAACGAUGAACCUCCUUCGGGAGGGGAUUAGUGGCGAACGGGUGAGUAACACGUGGGCAAUCUGCCCUUCACUCUGGGACAAGCCCUGGAAACGGGGUCUAAUACCGGAUAACACUGCGGAUCGCAUGGUCUGCGGUUGAAAGCUCCGGCGGUGAAGGAUGAGCCCGCGGCCUAUCAGCUAGUUGGUGGGGUGAUGGCCUACCAAGGCGACGACGGGUAGCCGGCCUGAGAGGGCGACCGGCCACACUGGGACUGAGACACGGCCCAGACUCCUACGGGAGGCAGCAGUGGGGAAUAUUGCACAAUGGGCGAAAGCCUGAUGCAGCGACGCCGCGUGAGGGAUGACGGCCUUCGGGUUGUAAACCUCUUUCAGCAGGGAAGAAGCGAAAGUGA